rnacentral:rRNA from 1 species
AAAGGAAUAGACGGGGGCCCGCACAAGCAGCGGAGCAUGUGGUUUAAUUCGAAGCAACGCGAAGAACCUUACCCAGACUUGACAUCUCCUGAAUUAAUCGUAAUGGAUGAAUUCCCUUCGGGGACAGGAAGACAGGUGGUGCAUGGUUGUCGUCAGCUCGUGUCGUGAGAUGUUGGGUUAAGUCCCGCAACGAGCGCAACCCUUAUCAUUAGUUGCUAACAUUUAGUUGAGCACUCUAGUGAGACUGCCCGGGUUAACCGGGAGGAAGGUGGGGAUGACGUCAAAUCAUCAUGCCCCUUAUGUCUGGGGCUACACACGUGCUACAAUGGUGGGAACAAAGAGAUGCAAUACCGCAAGGUGGAGCCAAACUUCAAAACCCAUCCCAGUUCGGAUUGUAGGCUGAAACUCGCCUACAUGAAGCUGGAGUUGCUAGUAAUCGCGAAUCAGAAUGUCGCGGUGAAUACGUUCCCGGGCCUUGUACACACCGCCCGU